AUGGCUGCCACAAACACGUAUGUCCUGAAGGGGGACGAUACCACAAACUCUCAGUUUGUCAAUAUUGUUGCCAACAUUAGUCAAGCGAUGCAAAAAAUGACCACCGUGUUCGUUCAACAAAUGCAAGUUAUCGAAAAUACCCUGGAGCUUCUUGUCACUUCAGGGGAUGAUGUACGCGUCAAGACUAAUUUUUCUGACAGUCUGAAGUUGCCAAGCCUCAGCAGUAAGGAUAUGCAUCCAUGCUGCGAUAAGGUUUUGAGUAAGCUGUCUAUUUUAGAAGGAGUUGUUCAAAAACUUUGCGAAUCAUUUUGUACGGAUGUGAAAACAUCUGAAAAAUCUCAAUCUAAAAGCACGAAACUUAACACACCUGUUGUAUUACUUACGGACACCAAUUGCCGGAAACCAACUACCGUUCAAGCGCAAGUAUCCCUUGACUCUAGUUUUCAGAUUAUCACUUUGAAUGCUGAAGACGAUUAUCCUGGAGGAUCAUGGCUAGGAGACGAAGAUAUUGCUGAGGCUAGAGUCCGAGUUCCCAUCUCUCCAGGGUAUUUAUCAGAUUGUUAUCAUAUUUUCAUAACAUCAGUGUGACACGUUGGAAAAUGUGAAUCUCCCUUCAGAAUCACCGAUUCUGUUUUAUUUUUAGAUGGCGUUAUUCGGCGGUACGGUACUGUAAAUAAAAUUUUAUUUGACGGUACCGUACCCACACCAGCAAAUCUUCUAAGUAUUGCUAAGGUGCCUUUACGGGAUAACUUUAUGACUGCUAACUGGAAAAUUCCUACCCCUAAAGUGCCUUUACCCGGAUGACUUUUUAACCGCUAACUGGAAAAUUUCCCUCCAGUAAGAUGCUUCCACUGGAUGAGCAAGCAAACGCCAUCUACAGUGAUCCACUGGUAUUAUCUAGAGAAAUUAUGUAACUAAGGAAAGGAAAUCUUGGAUGCGCAAAAAUCAAUGGCCCACCAGUAUUUGCUUCAGAAACUGGCUUCGUAGUUUCAGACUACCGCAAAAAUUUUGCAUCUUUUAUCUGAUCAGUUGUGUUUUCUUCAAGUUUUUGGCUGCAUGUAAUAGCAAUGCAAUAUAUGUAAGUUUUUUAAGUGUAUUAAUCUGGCAUGGGUUGGCAAGGUGUGGCAUGGGUUGGCAAGGUGUGGCAUGGGUUACAAUGCGUAUGGGCUUUGAAAUGUAUGCAGAGAGCAAUUAGAGUUUACGCGAACAUCGAAGCACUGGAUUACCUAAGUGCAUUUACAUUCAGCCUGAAAUACCUAGCAUUAUGAUGUUACCUGCGGCAUGUAUACCCACUGUUGGCACCUUAGCGGUACAAAGUUUUCUGGUUAGCGGUAAAAAGUCAUCUGGUAAAGGCACCUUAGCGAUACUUGGAUUUUUUAGUCACGUUACUGUACCGCCAAAUAACAAUUUAUUCGACGAUACCAUACCACCGAUUUAUUUUUUGAGAUGAAAAAUAAUCAAAGUAGCUCCUUGCGAUUUUCUGUGAAAUUGUUUAAUUUGUCAAGAAGAUUCACAUAAAAUUUCAAGGAAAACUGCAGGUUUUCUAAUAAGAGAAACCCCAAGCGGACAUGUACAAUGUUUCAAAUGGUUGUGUACAUUUCUCCACUUCAGCCAUGUAUAUUUCGGAAAUUGCAAGAGAAUUUGUUCAGUUAGUGUUAAAAAACAUAGAAAAUCCAAGAGUAUCUGGACAAAACUAACCAGAUUCAACCAAUUAUGAAGAAUCAACCAGAGUCAUGUUGCCUAAUUGCCUCUUGUGUCGUACUUUUUAACAGAAUGUUCUGAAAGAUCCAGAAUUUGUCUUAAAUUAUGAGGAAUUUACUCACUAAAUUUUGCUGAGUUUCCUGUCCCGAAAAAGGAGACUUUAAAAGGAAACUAGGAAUCAUGAGAUGGAGUCAAGAUAAAGCUGUCCAUUUAAUGAGUGACUAAAUCAGGAAACGAAAGAAUAAAUCUUUCCCAAUUGAAUUUGGAGUUACCACCACUGAUUGUGAAGGAUAAGGAAGAUGAGUGCAUCGUCAGAUUUUUACCUCUGGAAACUUCUGAAUGUGUGCAACUUCAUGCCAAAAAAAACGCAUCGUAAAACCUUUCUGUAUAAGAUUUUAUUAGCAAAGGGUAUUUGAGCCUCAGGGUUUACUUGCUAUCAAUGAAUGACCACUGGCCUACAGAGAAUGUGACAACAUCCACGAUGGCCAAAGCAGACUGAAACAGCACGCCUUUUGGUUAAAACACACCAGCAUAGCAAAAGAUUGGAACCCUGUGUAUCAUCCUUGUAAUAUGUAACAGUCAUCCAAACAAAAUUCCUUAUAGCUCGUCUCCUCUGCACAUUUUCAUGAAACUUUUGCGAAAUGAAAUCGCUCAAUUGAACUUUAUCCCAGCAUUCUCAAAAAUCAAUGAAACAGAAUUGAUAAAUGAGGAAGAUAAAAGACUGUAAAAACUUGUCUCCAGUUUGUUUGACUGUGGCAAUUCAUGUUGCGGAAGUCAGUAUAAAUUGUCGUUGUGCUGUUGCGAAAGGAUAGGAGAAUAGGUGUUAUAAAAUUGCUCUAAAAUUAUUUUUACUUUCAAACUUUAUUCAUCAUUUUGCAGGAUCUCUGCCAUUCUGAGAAAGUCAGGAAAUUUAUAGUAACCUGGAAAUGUCAGAGAAUUUUGCGAGUUGCUUGUCAGCUAAGCAAUUUCAGCCAGUGCCAUUCAAGGGAGCUAUAACAGCUUCUGAGUGUCUUUUCUCAUAAUUUGAAUCUAUAAUUGCGGAAAUUUCAUCCAAAGUUUAGCAAAAGUCAGCGGUAAUUAGAAAAAAAUUGGGAGGUAAUUUUUUUCUAAUGUAAGGGAAAGUCAAGGAAUGAGGAAAUUUUUAAUAUCAGGAAAAGCAAAAAAAUCGAGGAUGAGUCAGGGGAUUUAGGAAAAGAAAAAAAAUGGAAACUUCGUUCUGUGGUAAAAACGUACCUAUUGCACGGAGUGCACAAGAUAAAUUAUAGUAAGAAUAAAAAUAUACAACUGAUUAACAACUCACUUGCACAUUCAUUUAAAACGACUUCUUUAAAUUAACGUGCAAGUAAGUUAUAAAUCAUACAUAUUUUUACUGUUGAACCCGUUUUGUAACAUGUAGUUUGUCUUGAUUUCAAGAAUAUAUAAGAUGGAAUCCUAUUUUCAAUCUCAUUGUAUUUUAUUUUUUCUGGAUUUCAAGUUUUUUUCU
rnacentral:lncRNA from 1 species